rnacentral:piRNA from 1 species
AAAAGUGGGUCGUCCUACAGCUUCAAAG